rnacentral:rRNA from 1 species
UCCGUAGGCGGUGUGGCAAGUCGGGAGUGAAAUCUCUGGGCUUAACCCAGAGGCUGCUUCCGAAACUGCCGUGCUAGAGUGUGAGAGAGGCGAGUGGAACUACGGGUGUAGCGGUGAAAUGCGUAGAUAUCCGUAGGAACAUCCGAGGCGAAGGCGGCUCGCUGGAUCACAACUGACGCUGAGGGACGAAAGCUAGGGAGCAAACA